rnacentral:rRNA from 1 species
UACGGAAGGGGCGAGCGUUGUUCGGAAUCAUUGGGCGUAAAGGGCGCGUAGGUGGUGCUGUAUGUCUCCCGUGAAAGUCCACGGCUCAACUGUGGGGCGUCGGGAGAAACUGCAGGACUUGAGGCUGGGAGGGGCUGGUGGAAUUCCCUGUGUAGCGGUGAAAUGCGUAGAGAUGGGGGAGAACACUCGUGGCGAAGGCGGCCAGCUAGACCAGUUCUGACACUGAGGCGCGACAGCGUGGGGAGCAAACAGG